rnacentral:rRNA from 1 species
AGUCGCCGCGGUAACACGGAGGGAGCUAGCGUUGUUCGGAAUUACUGGGCGUAAAGCGCACGUAGGCGGUUAUUCAAGUCAGAGGUGAAAGCCCGGGGCUCAACCCCGGAACUGCCUUUGAAACUAGAUGACUGGAAUCUUGGAGAGGUCAGUGGAAUUCCGAGUGUAGAGGUGAAAUUCGUAGAUAUUCGGAAGAACACCAGUGGCGAAGGCGACUGACUGGACAAGUAUUGACGCUGAGGUGCGAAAGCGUGGGGAGCAAACAGGAUUAGAUACCCCAGUAGUCCCUGUCUCUUAUACC